CUGCAUUCCAGCUGGGCAAGGCCUGGGCAGAACGCAGCGCGGGAGCGCAGGAGACAGUGGCGGGCACUGCGAAGCCAAGCAGAAGAACUGGUCCUGGCCCACAAGGAAAAGGAAAGGAUCUGGGCCCUAGAAACUGAUGGCUUUCUCCUGAGAGCUGCCUCCUUUCCAUUGCCAAGUGUAACUUCAUAGGGGAAAAUCCAACGCCCUUGGCAGCUGUCUGUGACAAGUCAGAAACUCCAUCUACCCGUACCCUGGGCACUCUGCAACCUUCCCUAUCGUGUGAGGACAUCCCACGUGGAGCAUUGAAAGAGAGAGCCUGUGUGUCUUCUGGGACCUUGUGCUUCUCCUGAAUAAUCCCCUGCUUUUUGAACACCUUUGCCUUGGAGAGAUCCCAGCGUUCCCCAGAGUUUCUCAGGAUGGUGAUUAUCACUACCUAUUUUUUUUUCAUGUCGAUAUGGUAAUAAAGGGCACAUUAGAGGCUCUGCACCUGCUUCAGUAGCAUGAAUUCUGAGCAGUGUGGAAGCAUUGGAGCAGCUCAAUAAUUUCUCAGAAGGCAGGCAGUGGUGUGGACACCAAGGUAAAAAUGC